UACGGGGGGGGCAAGCGUUGUUCGGAAUUACUGGGCGUAAAGGGCUCGUAGACGGCCAACUAAGUCGGACGUGAAAUCCCUCAGCUUAACUGGGGAACUGCGUCCGAUACUGGAUGGCUUGGAUUUGGGAGAGGGAUGCGGAAUUCCAGGUGUAGCGGUGAAAUGCGUAGAUAUCUGGAGGAACACCGGUGGCGAAGGCGGCAUCCUGGACCAAUAUUGACGCUGAGGAGCGAAAGCUAGGGGAGCAAACGGG
rnacentral:rRNA from 1 species